AAAAUUAAGUAAGUUAACAAAAAGAUAAAAACUUAAUAUAUGCUACUUAAGUAAAGAAUAUGAUGCUUAUCAGAGUUUUAGAGUGAAUUCAGGCAACUUAAAUAUUGAAAUGACGGAGGUAAAUCUACAAGUUCAGAUCUGGAGCACCGCCAAAGGAACAUAUUGCUUGGACGGAGGGAGAGCACAGGCAUACCCAAUGAGAUGUUGUCCAGAUUUUUCAGUGAUGGAUUCUCAUCUUGUAGUUCCAAUGAAAUUUGCAAGCUGAAUCCAUGAGCGAAACAAAGAAAAAAAAAAGAUUGGACGUAAAUAGCAAAGAGAAGACGGAUGUAUAAGGUGUUGCAAGCAUCAGAGAAGAUGAAAUCUAAAAUACUUUAAGAGAAA